GAUGAACGCUGGCGGCGUGCCUAACACAUGCAAGUCGAACGGUGGUUUUCGGAUCACAGUGGCGCACGGGUGAGGAACACGUAGCUGACCUGCCUUCGAGCGGGGGAUAACGGUUCGAAAGGACUGCUAAUACCCCAUAAGCUCACGCUCUGUAGAGGGGUGUGAGAAAAGGAGCGAUCCACUUGAAGAGGGGGCUGCGACCCAUCAGGUAGUUGGUGUGGUAAGAGCGCACCAAGCCGACGACGGGUCGGGGGUCUGAGAGGAUGAUCCCCCACACUGGGACUGAGACACGGCCCAGACUCCUACGGGAGGCUG
rnacentral:rRNA from 1 species